rnacentral:misc_RNA from 1 species
UUGAAUACCUGGCACUUUUUAAAUCCAUAUCCACCUUGUGUGCAAUGUCAGUCGAUCUUCUUCAUGGAGUUCGACCAAACAUCAACCUAAUCUUUUAACUCUUUGUCUGAAAAAUAUUAUGAAUAAAUAAUUCAAAAUA